rnacentral:rRNA from 1 species
UACGUAGGGGGCAAGCGUUGUCCGGAUUUAUUGGGCGUAAAGAGCGUGUAGGCGGCCAGACAGGUCAGCUGUGAAAACUCGAGGCUCAACCUCGAGACGUCGGUUGAAACCGUCUGGCUAGAGUCCGGAAGAGGAGAGUGGAAUUCCCGGUGUAGCGGUGAAAUGCGCAGAUAUCGGGAAGAACACCCGUGGCGAAGGCGGGUCUCUGGGCCGAUACUGACGCUGAGGAGCGAAAGCGUGGGGAGCGAACAGG